GACCGCGUAGCUCAGUUGACAGAGCAUUGGACUAGUAUUCCAAACUGGUCUCGAGUUCGAUUCUCACCAUGGUCA